UGGAUGUGGGCACCCUCCAACCCAGAGACGCUGCCAUUGGUGGGCUGUGCAAGGCGUGGACGAGAGACCAAUCGGGAGCCGGAAUCCUGCAGGCCCUUGAAGCCUAAGCGGCAACGUCAGGGGUUGGGCACACAGGUGGCCCGGGAAGGCGGAGCUUGGCGAGCCGGGAGGCGGGGCCGAAAGUUCCUAGCCCACCCUCCAGGAGCCAAGAAACAGAUCCUGUUUUAUUUUUCUGCGAAGGAAGAUCGGUAGAGAUCCGAUAGUUCAGACUUGGUAACUGUUCAACGCGUGAGUAACAGUCGAUUCAUCAGUGUCCCCGUGCUCUG